AUGAUGGUACCUUGUUCGCGGAAGGUCCGCAUUUCCUGCUGUGAUCCUGACGCCACCGAUUCCUCUGAUGAAGAUGAUCGGCAUGCGAAGAAGGAAAAGAGAAUGACAAUGGAGGUGCUAGUUCCAGUGAAAACCUCCGGACCCCUCAAGUCUCGAAAGACCCUUGUGCCAUGUGGCACCAAGAAAUCAAUGGGUACAGAGAAGAAGCAACCAACCAGCAAGUACCCUGGUGUGCGCCUGCGGUCAUGGGGUAAGUGGGCUGCGGAGAUACGUGAUCCUGUGAGCAAGACCCGGAAAUGGAUUGGCACAUUUACCUCUGAGGAGGCCGCUGCUGCAGCAUAUGAGGCAGAACGGAACCGGGUACGCACUGAGAUGUUGGCCAUCAAAUCUCGGUCACCUCCAUCAGAACAUGAAGCUGUGUCCAGCGAAGCUACUGUAUCCUGUGUGUCUUCAUCUGUGUCGUCCGGUGACCAGAAAGCACAAGAGGUACACAAGUUAGCGUCAAUGGAGAUAGACCCUGACACUGCUGAUGAGAGCUUACUGCACUGCUCACCGGAACCGCUAGGUAAAGAAAUCCAGGUAGAUGCUUUCCUUGGCCGGAUGAAUGUUGAUGAAAGCUUAGUGCACUGCUCAUCGACACCUAGCGAUGAAGAAAUUCCUGUGGAUGCAUUCCGCAGCCAGAUGAACGAGCUUCCUAUCGGCGACUAUGUUUGCGCAACUGACAAACUCUCACUGGAUGAUAUUUCAAGGCUGGCAGAUAUGUUUCCUGUCAAUGACUUCGUCGACACAACAGGCGAGCCGCCUGGUGACGACUACAUCGGGCUGGCAGACAUCAGCCAUCUACCGAUGCCAAUGUUCGAGUUGGAUGCAGAACUUAAUUGGGAAGGCUUCGACUUUGCUUCGAUGGAACAUGAACUAGAGAAACUUUGA
rnacentral:rRNA from 1 species